rnacentral:tRNA from 1 species
UCCUUGAUAACUCAGUUGGUAGAGUGAUGGACUGUUAAUCCAUUUGUCCCUGGUUCAAAUACAGGUCAAGGAG